AUUGAACGCUGGCGGCAUGCCUUACACAUGCAAGUCGAACGGCAGCACGGGAGCAAUCCUGGUGGCGAGUGGCGAACGGGUGAGUAAUGUAUCGGAACGUGCCCAUUCGUGGGGGAUAACGUAGCGAAAGCUACGCUAAUACCGCAUACGAUCUAUGGAUGAAAGCGGGGGAUCGCAAGACCUCGCGCGAUUGGAGCGGCCGAUAUCAGAUUAGGUAGUUGGUGGGGUAAAGGCUAACCAAGCCGACGAUCUGUAGCUGGUCUGAGAGGACGACCAGCCACACGGGGACUGAGACACGGCCCAGACUCCUACGGGAGGCAGCAGUGGGGAAUUUUGGACAAUGGGCGCAAGCCUGAUCCAGCAAUGCCGCGUGCAGGAUGAAGGCCUUCGGGUUGUAAACUGCUUUUGUACGGAACGAAACGGCGAGCUCUAAUACAGUUUGCUAAUGACGGUACCGUAAGAAUAAGCACCGGCUAACUACGUGCCAGCCGCCGCGGUAA
rnacentral:rRNA from 1 species